rnacentral:other from 2 species
AUCACCCUGCUGUGUUCGUGAUGCCGCAAAACCGGUUUUGAGCCAACACUCUUAAAAAGGCGUCUCUUAUUAGAUAGUAUCACGAUAGACUUCGGUCAAGGUGAAAUCUCUCUAGCGGGACCCUACCUGCGAAAGCAGGUUCAAAACUACGCAGCACACGGCAUGGCGGGGAUUUU